rnacentral:rRNA from 1 species
UACAGAGGGUGCGAGCGUUAAUCGGAAUUACUGGGCGUAAAGCGCGCGUAGGCGGCUUUGUAAGUUAGAGGUGAAAGCCCGGGGCUCAACCCCGGAACUGCCUUUAAAACUGCAUCGCUUGAAUCCGGGAGAGGUGAGUGGAAUUCCGAGUGUAGAGGUGAAAUUCGUAGAUAUUCGGAAGAACACCAGUGGCGAAGGCGGCUCACUGGACCGGUAUUGACGCUGAGGUGCGAAAGCGUGGGGAG